rnacentral:rRNA from 2 species
UGGGGAAUCUUGCGCAAUGGCCGAAAGGCUGACGCAGCGACGCCGCGUGUGGGAUGACGGCCUUCGGGUUGUAAACCACUGUCGGAAGGGACGAAUGGCCCGCAAGGGCAGUGACGGUACCUUCAAAGGAAGCACCGGCUAACUCCGUGCCAGCAGCCGCGGUAAUACGGAGGGUGCGAGCGUUGUCCGGAAUCACUGGGCGUAAAGGGCGCGUAGGCGGCCCGGUAAGUAGGGGGUGAAAUCUUGCGGCUUAACCGCAAGGCUGCCUUCUAGACUGCCAGGCUCGAGCACAGUAGAGGCAGGUGGAAUUCCCGGUGUAGCGGUGGAAUGCGUAGAGAUCGGGAAGAACAUCAGUGGCGAAGGCGGCCUGCUGGACUGUAGCUGACGCUGAGGCGCGACAGCGUGGGGAGCAAACAGG